rnacentral:lncRNA from 1 species
CCUAAAAGUUAUAAGUGAGGUUUGCUUGCACAUUUUUCCGAAUCAGGUGAUGGGCCAGACUCUGUUUCUUUUACUGUCUCUGUAUAUCUUUUCUUGAGGGAACUGUAUCUUAUUACUGAUCUUCAUUGAAAUAUAUGCAAUGCAAUUUAAAGUACGGAAUUUGGCUGUCGACCUAAAAUUAUCAUAGACUGAUUUUCUGAAGCUUAACCUCUUUCUGCAUUUCUGAUGCGAAUUUCUGAAGUAACCGGCAUUGGUGGUCAUCACUUGCCACCCUUCUGAACCUUUUUGGAGCCUAACCUCGUGGUUAGGCUGUACCGACUGCGAUUAUCAUAUCUAACCUUGGCUUGCAUUUCUAAUGAUGCAUCAUCUGUCUUCUGACAGCCACAUGCGAUCUUUGUCCACUUGCUCCACCGGCUCUCUACUCUGCACCAACCGAGCUUGUUUAUUCAUCCAUCUGCUGAUGCGAUUCUCCUGCUCAUCAUCACCUCAUCCCUAGCACCUAGUAGGCUGUUAGUUAGAGGUGGCAUUAGCUACUAGCUACUGUGCCCUUGUUAAUUCUCCUCUUAACUCUUGGUUUAUGCGGCGACGCGAAUAAUUGACUGAUCUAAAGUUGGAGCCGAGAUUCGACGGUUAGUUGGACCUGUUUUUCAGUUGGUACAACGGUUAGUUGAAGAAGAGGGCCACGACGCCAGUCUCAGCUCUGACUGUGUGUCUGUCAGCGCCGCCUAAUCAUGCUGCUGUUCAUUUUGCCCGUCUCAAUCAUCCUGCUCUAGUCCUUGAGAUGGAAGUUUACAUCAACUUUCGUCUGCUGCCCAUGGUAGGUGUAAACUUAGGAAUUAGGACACUGGCAAAUGCUGAGAUCUUAACAACAACAGUAACAAAGAAAACAUAUAUACACACUGUAUGUAGUUGCUGAUCACCUUUUUUCUGUUGAAUCUAAACACCUUCCAGUUGCUUUUUCAUCUGCUGAUCUGAACAAUUCGAGUAUGAAACAAUCUUGCUCCACCCAUUUUGAUUUCC